AGCCGGGGCGGCGGAACCUCGCCAGCACUGAUGAGUGGUGUUCCUCAGCUAGCCCGGCGGCGCCCGAACUUUGCAGCCUCCCGCCUCGGGGACUGGCGUGGGCGGGUCGGGAAUCAGUACGCUGAACCAGACUUGGGUGCCUGGAGCCCAUUAGUUAGGGUUCGCCCUCACCUGGAGUGUGUGGGGAAGAGACCGGUACCCCUUUCCAGUUGAGGGAUCUGAGGGGCUGAGCACCUGGCCCCGGUCGCCAGUGUUUUCAGGGGUGGCGGUAAAUUCCAACAAGGUCUCAGUUCUUUCCCUUGAGGAAUACACAGCUCACCACUGAUUUUUGGGAAUUGCUUUUUCUUUCCUUUCUCCCCAGAAGGGCGGAUAACCAGGACUCCGCCCCGUCGGGGUGGACUUUGAUACCUGCGCGCCUGGAAAUAGUAAGGAGGAAGCGAAAGGAAAAGGAGAUUCCAGAAGAUCACUGUGGACCUGGAUACCUAAGAGUCUGUAAAAGCCAGUUGUUUGCAAAAGAGCUCACAAGCCAACUAUUUAUAUUUAGUUCUUUAGCUGGGAAUGAGGUGCUAUCAUCAUUAUCUGCUUUUCAGUCAAAGAAGAAACCAAAAGGUUAUCUCCUCUAAGAAUUUAUGUCCAGUAAAGAAAGGAGGAAAAAGAUGCAACUGGAGACCAUCAUGUUAUUCAAAAUAAACCAGUCUCAGAAAGUAAAA